rnacentral:rRNA from 1 species
CCUACGGGAGGCAGCAGUGAGGAAUAUUGGUCAAUGGCCGGAAGGCUGAACCAGCCAAGCCGCGUGAAGGACGAAGGUGCCAAGCAUUGUAAACUUCUUUUGUCAAGGGACAAAAUCAGGCUCGAGAGCCUGACCGAGGGUACUUGAAGAAAAAGCAUCGGCUAACUCCGUGCCAGCAGCCGCGGUAAUACGGAGGAUGCGAGCGUUAUCCGGUUUUAUUGGGUUUAAAGGGUGCGUAGGGGGACUGUUAAGUCAGCGGUAAAAGCCCGGGGUUAAGCCCAGGAGAGCCGUUGAAACUGGCUGUCUUGAGUGGUGGAGAGGUAUGCGGAAUGCGCGGUGUAGCGGUGAAAUGCUUAGAUAUUGCGAAGAACUCCGAUUGCGAAGGCAGCAUACCGGCGGCGAUCUGACGCUGAGGCACGAAAGCGUGGGUAUCGAACAGGAUUAGAUACCCGGGUAGUC